UACGAAGGGGGCUAGCGUUGCUCGGAAUCACUGGGCGUAAAGCGCACGUAGGCGGAUCGUUAAGUCAGGGGUGAAAUCCUGGAGCUCAACUCCAGAACUGCCUUUGAUACUGAAGAUCUUGAGUUCGGGAGAGGUGAGUGGAACUGCGAGUGUAGAGGUGAAAUUCGUAGAUAUUCGCAAGAACACCAGUGGCGAAGGCGGCUCACUGGCCCGAUACCUGACGCUGAGGCACGAAAGCGUGGGGAGCAAACAGGG
rnacentral:rRNA from 1 species